rnacentral:rRNA from 1 species
CAGUCGCCGCGGUAAUACGAGGGGGGCUAGCGUUACUCGGAAUUACUGGGCGUAAAGGGCGCGUAGGCGGCACGAUUAGUCAGGCGUGAAAUUCCUGGGCUCAACCUGGGGACUGCGCUUGAUACGGUCGAGCUAGAGGAUGGAAGAGGGUUGUGGAAUUCCCAGUGUAGAGGUGAAAUUCGUAGAUAUUGGGAAGAACGCCGGUGGCGAAGGCGGCAACCUGGUCCAUUACUGACGCUGAGGCGCGACAGCGUGGGGAGCAAACAGGAUUAGAUACCCCUGUAGUCCCUGUCUCUUAUAC